rnacentral:rRNA from 1 species
GAUGAACGCUGGCGGCGUGCCUAAAACAUGCAAGUCGAGCGGUAAGGCUCUGCACUUAGUGUUUGAUCGAAGUAAUUUAUUACUACAGUAGACCAAUUGGAACCUUGGCGGGUGAAGAGCGGAAUAGGAAGAUCGAAUUAUAAGUGUAGAGUACACGAGCGGCGGACGGGUGAGUAACACGUGGGAAUCUACCCCAAAACUGAGGGAUAAGCACCGGAAACGGUGUCUAAUACCGCAUAUGGUCUUCGGAUUAAAGCUUCGGCGGUUUGGGAAGAGCCCGCGUAAGAUUAGCUAGUUGGUGAGGUAAAGGCUCACCAAGGCGACGAUCUUUAGCUGGUUUGAGAGGAUGAUCAGCCACACUGGAACUGAGACACGGUCCAGACUCCUACGGGAGGCAGCAGUUAGGAAUUUUCACAAUGGCGCAAGCCUGAUGGAGCAACGCCGCGUGCAGGAUGAAGGUUUCGGAUUGUAAACUGCUUUUAUGUGUGAAGAAUAUGAC